GUUUAUUCUUUACAGGAUGUGUGCAUUCCAGAUCUCAUCAAACUUCUAGACAUCCUGGGAGACAACGGGAACUUAAGAAAUGAGGAGCAAGUGGCCAUCAUUCAGGCUAGCACUGUUUUGUCAUUAGCGGAAAAGUGGAUUCAACAAAUUGAGGGGACGGAGGCAGCGCUGCACCAGAAAAUGAUGGACCUGGAGAUAGAGAUGGUGA